rnacentral:rRNA from 1 species
UACGUAGGGUGCAAGCGUUGUCCGGAAUUAUUGGGCGUAAAGAGCUCGUAGGCGGUUUGUCGCGUCUGCUGUGAAAACUCGGGGCUUAACCCCGGGCCUGCAGUGGGUACGGGCAGACUAGAGUGCGGUAGGGGAGACUGGAAUUCCUGGUGUAGCGGUGAAAUGCGCAGAUAUCAGGAGGAACACCGGUGGCGAAGGCGGGUCUCGUGGGCCGUAACUGACGCUGAGGAGCGAAAGCGUGGGGAGCGAACAGG